UUGAACGCUGGCGGCAGGCCUAACACAUGCAAGUCGAGCGGUAGCACAGAGAGCUUGCUCUCGGGUGACGAGCGGCGGACGGGUGAGUAAUGUCUGGGAAACUGCCUGAUGGAGGGGGAUAACUACUGGAAACGGUAGCUAAUACCGCAUAAUGUCGCAAGACCAAAGUGGGGGACCUUCGGGCCUCAUGCCAUCAGAUGUGCCCAGAUGGGAUUAGCUAGUAGGUGGGGUAACGGCUCACCUAGGCGACGAUCCCUAGCUGGUCUGAGAGGAUGACCAGCCACACUGGAACUGAGACACGGUCCAGACUCCUACGGGAGGCAGCAGUGGGGAAUAUUGCACAAUGGGCGCAAGCCUGAUGCAGCCAUGCCGCGUGUGUGAAGAAGGCCUUCGGGUUGUAAAGCACUUUCAGCGGGGAGGAAGGCGUUAAGGUUAAUAACCUUGGCGAUUGACGUUACCCGCAGAAGAAGCACCGGCUAACUCCGUGCCAGCAGCCGCGGUAAUACGGAGGGUGCAAGCGUUAAUCGGAAUUACUGGGCGUAAAGCGCACGCAGGCGGUCUGUCAAGUCGGAUGUGAAAUCCCCGGGCUCAACCUGGGAACUGCAUUCGAAACUGGCAGGCUAGAGUCUUGUAGAGGGGGGUAGAAUUCCAGGUGUAGCGGUGAAAUGCGUAGAGAUCUGGAGGAAUACCGGUGGCGAAGGCGGCCCCCUGGACAAAGACUGACGCUCAGGUGCGAAAGCGUGGGGAGCAAACAGGAUUAGAUACCCUGGUAGUCCACGCCGUAAACGAUGUCGAUUUGGAGGUUGUGCCCUUGAGGCGUGGCUUCCGGAGCUAACGCGUUAAAUCGACCGCCUGGGGAGUACGGCCGCAAGGUUAAAACUCAAAUGAAUUGACGGGGGCCCGCACAAGCGGUGGAGCAUGUGGUUUAAUUCGAUGCAACGCGAAGAACCUUACCUGGUCUUGACAUCCACAGAACUUUCCAGAGAUGGAUUGGUGCCUUCGGGAACUGUGAGACAGGUGCUGCAUGGUUGUCGUCAGCUCGUGCCGUGAGGUGUCGGCUUAAGUGCCAUAACGAGCGCAACCCCUCUCCUUAGUUGCCAUCAGGUUAAGCUGGGCACUCUGGGGACACUGCCACCGUAAGGUGUGAGGAAGGUGGGGAUGACGUCAAGUCAUCAUGGCCCUUACGACCAGGGCUACACACGUGCUACAAUGGCAUAUACAAAGAGAAGCGACCUCGCGAGAGCAAGCGGACCUCAUAAAGUAUGUCGUAGUCCGGAUUGGAGUCUGCAACUCGACUCCAUGAAGUCGGAAUCGCUAGUAAUCGUAGAUCAGAAUGCUACGGUGAAUACGUUCCCGGGCCUUGUACACACCGCCCGUCACACCAUGGGAGUGGGUUGCAAAAGAAGUAGGUAGCUUAACCUUCGGGAGGGCGCUUACCACUUUGUGAUUCAUGACUGGGGUG
rnacentral:rRNA from 1 species